rnacentral:lncRNA from 1 species
AAAAAAAGAUAACCUGCCCUUCCUUAAAACCGAACUGUAUGAAAUCAAUGGCACGUGCUACGGGUUAUCACUGAGGGAGGUCACUGUCCCAUCCUCUGCCUGUAGAAUCUGACAUCCAGUGGCACAAGUCACCUCUGCAUCAUUUCAUGUUCCCUCUGGGAUCAUCUUCAAAAGCUUCUAACUGCGCCUCCUGCCCUUGUUCCACUGGCCUUAGUAGCUCAUGAUACCUCCAUCUGCUAGCAAACCUCCAAUAACUCUGACCCCAUUCUCUGGGCAGGGUCACAAGGAGUCCUGCUUUUAAAUUGGGAGAUAAAAGUGGUAGCAGAAAGGGCCCGGAGAGGUAGAGCUCACAGGCUUGGCAGUGGUCAGGCCUCCAGGGGCUGUGUUUUCCUGGAGGUGCAUUUAUUGUGGGAGAAAAACUUUUACCCUUGAACCUUCUGCACUCAAAACCCCCACGGUCAAUUUUUCCAGCUCCCUGGGCCAGGGUCAGGUGCUCCCAGCUCUCUGGAGGCCCUGAUCUUUUGGCAGUGUGAUGGCAGCAUGACCACAACGACCUUGGUUUUGCUAAGACUAGUGCUGGCUCAUCUACAGGAUUCAGAUGUGUCCUUCACUCAGGGAGCAAGGAAACAGACAUGUUCUGCCCAAGGGCUACUGGCAACAUCCAAAAGGCAACAGUUGUUAACAGUUUCAUGGAUUUCCUUACAGUAGAGGAAGCUUCAAUAUAUAAUUUUUGAGGUUGGUGAUUCUCAACUAGGAGCUAUUUUGCCCCCCAUCCCCCACCCGGCAGUGUCUGGAGACAGUUUUGAUUGUCACAACUGCGAGAAGUGGGUGCUACUGGAAUCACUGGGUAGAGGCCAGCAAUGCUGCUAAACAUCCUACAUUGCACAGGACACCCCCACAGCAAAGAAUUAUCUAGCCCGAAAUGUUAACUGUGCUGAGGCUGAGAAACCCUGAUUUAAAAACUGUGCUCAUAUAAUAAAACCGUGUAUCCUCUUUUGAUUUAAUGUAAGUAUUUCCAUGUCAUUAUAAAUUUUCUACAAAUUAUCAUUUUAAAAACAAUACAAUAUUCCUGCUGAUUGCUAACUUACCCAUCUUCCUGCUGGUAGACAAUUUAGGAUAUUUUCAGGAUUUUGAUCUCAUAAAUAGAUGCUAGGCUUUGAUUUAAAGAGACUUUUCUAAGGUAUCCAAAAGCUUAUUCAUUCAACAAACAUUGACUUAGAACCUACUGAGUAGCUACGUGUAGUGGUGAACAUGGCAAAGUCACUGCUCUCACAGAGCAUACAUUCUAGAGAUUCACAUUAAGCAAGCACCCUGACAAACAGACACACAAAAUAUUCGCAACACUGAUCGGUCCUGUGAGGAAAAUGACACGGGGGGAGGUGACGGAGAGGAGGGUGGGUGCAUGGCCUCCUCAGCCUGGAAGCUCAGAGAGGCUCUCUGAGGACACUAGAGCAGGGCUGGCAAUGCUAUGUGCUGUAUGUCUGGAAGGUAAACCCAGAGAAUCAGCCAGGAAAUGAGGGCAGUAAGAGUUACGGUACAGACCGGGUGCCUGACUCAUGGCCGGUGCUCAAAAGCUUGUUGAAUCAAAUUCUGAGAGAUGCUUUGCUGUGGCUUUGCUGAUGCCUGACCAUGAUUUCUGUGUUACACUUUGGGAGGGAUUUGGUAAACACAAGCUAUAGGUAAAAUUGACUGCAUUUUAUUCAGUAGUUCCCUCCACACUAUAGGCUUCUGUUGACUACACAGGACAAAUGCAACUUGGUGUCCCCAAGGCCUAUCCCAAUGCUGUUCAGAGAAAGACCCACCACAUAUGGGGACUGAUUUGCCUAGUCAAAUCCUGACCUUGCAUUCAGUUCCUGAGUCCCAAGACCCUGUGCCCUGCUCUUUCCACAGGUCUGCAUACGGAUGCCUGGUGCACACCCAUGCUAGGUCUCCAGUUUGGUGCCCUCCCUUGUGCCUAGGUCUCCCAGAGUGGCCAGUCCCCUCUGGGGUGUCCUACCACACUUGGAGCCCUGGCUCAGCAGCAAGUCCUGAUCCCUGUCGAUGGAACCCCUAAUGCUGCCUGCAUGGGUCUCUGACACCCACUCAUGAUCCUGUCACAGUGACACACCAGCCCACCGCAGUUCCCACUACUGUUCCUUCGUGGGCUCCAACUCUCAAAGCAGCAGACAUCUUUUCUGCUGCACUGGCUAGGACCUCACAGCUAGGUCCCUCUCUCUUAUUAGGACAGCCAGCAGCUCUAUCUCAGGCCUUUCCUCUCUGCUCUGCACUUUAGCAAAACACUUCACCGUGACUGAUUAUGUCCUAGUGAGGUAGCAAUGCGCUUGAAUUAUGAAUUUAUCCAGGAUCCACUGUGGGAGUUAGUGUGGCAACCUAGAAAUAGUAUGAGCUUGAGGCCAGAAAGGCUGGGUUCAAAUCCUAGUUCUGCCACUCACUGUGUAUCCUUGGACAGCUAAUUUAACUUUUUUGAAUGCUACGUCCUUUAGCUAAAAUAAGAAUAUCACCUAGAUAACCAGUUUUGUUACAAGAAGCUUGGGACAUGAAAUGGUAAGUGAAUGAUCCAUCACCUGGUCUAUAGUAGCUGCUCAAUAAAGACCAUUUUUCUUCUCAACAUUUCACAUCCUAGAAUGCCAACUCACUAUGAGAAGCAGGAGUUGACUCUUUGAUUUAAGCUUCAUUUUCACACUCUUCUCAGUGUCCCCUUACUCAGACGUACCAUUGUUAUUCCCUCCUUAUCACCUCUUCACACCCUAGGUCUGUGAAGUGCUUGUGCCAAGCACUUGCUCACAGUAUUCCAGAGAUCCAGAGACCUUAACUCCUCUGAGUGAGGUCGAAAUGCUGACUGAUAUGUGACCUCUUCUUUACUCAGAAACCCUCAGACGGGGCAUAAACACCUAUUCGGUCAUUGUUACCCAGCGCUGGUCUACUAUGUAACACUCUGAACCUGCUGGUUCUGAGAAACCUGUGCUUGAGAGGACAGACUCCCCUGCCACAUCUAUGAGAGCAGGACCCAUUAAGGCACUGUUACAGGGAAAGCUUUUUUUUUUUUUUAAACAAACACAAUAAAACACAUCCAUCCAAGUGACUGCUGUUCCAUUCACAGUGUCUAUCAACAUUCAACAUUCAAAGCGUAUCUGGAGCCCUCUCUGAGAACUGCUCUUUGACUCUGUUGAAAGAAUUCACUCAUUCAACAAAUAGUCCUUGAGGGCCUAACCAUGGGUUAGGUGCUACAUCAGCCACCAGGGAUGCAGACCAGAGAAAGAGAGCCCACUCUGCCCUGGGUGCCAUUGACCCAUUUGGCACCCACCAUGGAGGGGAGAGACAGAUACAGCAGCGCCUUUCCACACUGGUCAGCACUGAGGGGCCAAGAGCACGAAGCCUCCUCGGGGAGAGUGAAGAGAGUGAAGGGGUGAGGCCCACUUCUUCCCCUGCUUUGGCUCAUAGUCAACAACAGGAAUUCAUGGAGUUUUUUCCUUUGGCCUCCACUUCCUGUUUACACUGCUCUCUGUAAACACGAAGCAGAAGUCAAAGGAAAAAACCCCAUGAAUUCCUGUUGUUCUUGACUAUGAACCAGAGCAGCUUCCUGCAGAGCAAUGGCAAGGUGGAAGCGUCUAACACACUGACACCUGGGUUGUCAGAGGCUUUUGGUCAGCCAGGUUCUCUGCCCUCCACCUACUCAUACCCCAGGUCACUGAGAGGGGACUGCAUUCUCCCUCUGCAAGACAGCCUAUCCUGGCUUGGGUGAGUGUGCAUAUAUAGGCAAACACUGACUUAUGUCGUUCUCAUUUUUACGGCUGAAUAGUCUUGAGAAAUCGUGCUUGUUACUAGUGAUACUUUUUUUCUCCUCCUUUGACAUCGUUUUAUUGAAGUCAUUCACAGAGAGAUUAAUGAUAUUUUUCUACAGGGAAAGGGAUAUGGAGCACUUCUGCCCUUAGCUCAUCUCUUGUGAGAUGAGAUUACAGGCAACUUGAAUGUUUGUCUUCUGUAACAGGGUUUUUUAUGAUGACAGGACCUAUGGACAAUUCUUUCUUUCUCAUGUGUUUACAUUCUGGCAUCACUCACUGGAGCCCUCUGCCCCAAGAUCGUAAGAGGAGAAACCCAACGUCCCCGGAAGAUUUUACUGCCAUGUCGGAGAACCACUCUGGCGUGAUACAUUUUUAAAACAGGACCAUAAGCAAGAGAUAUUUGGAGGUACUGUUUAGGAUUCAUCUGAGAAUGGUGGUAGGAAACUGCAGCUGUCUCUGUAGGAAAAUCCCAUGCUGCACCCUGACUGAGUGGGGCCUCUCUGUUCUCUUCAGACUUCUGAGACUCAAUUUCCUCUCAAUUUGGCAGAACUCAGUUCAGCAAUGAUUUCUCUUUUUUAGAGGGUUCCUGAAAACCAAAAUGCUCUCGAGAUCCUAAGAUUCCUAAGGAAUGAAUCUCUUGUGGCGGAAUGUCAGGUACCACAGAUCCACCGAGGAAGUGAAUCUAGUCAAGAGCGGAAGCCUGCUGGUGAAAGGUGGUCUCCUCAUCUGUAAAAUGGGUGUGAUACUGUUCACUUCAGAGGUCUUUUAGGAAUGUCAGCACAAUGCUUGGUACACAAUAGGUGUUCAAUACCUGGGAGCUACUGCUAACAGCAACUUUUGAACCCCUGGGUGUAGGCAGCUCAUGAGACAGGCCCUGCCCAUUACAGAGUAAGACGCAUGGUGGGAAUACCUCUGUAGAAAUGUGUCUUUUCAGGAUUGAGGGCACACUCCCCAACUACCAGAAGAGGCCUUUUCUUCCCAGGACCUUCCCUGUCACCACUAUAAAACCUGGGCUGCAUUACAGAAAAGAAGCCA